CAACCAACUUGGGAUCAGGUGGCACAUUAUUGCCUGUUUGCCUAAAAGUCUGGUCUGUCUGGCUUUGUGAAUAUUCUCUAACUCCAACAACCUGCCUUGUAUGAUGAAUUGUGUUGUGCUAGGGAUCCAACCUCAGGCUGUAUGCAUGGUAGGCAAGUCACUCUACCACUGAGCCAUACCUCUUACCUCUACAGUCUUGAUUCUGUAGUGAUUAUAUAGAAAUGCUACAUAUAAAUUCUAUUUAAUAUAUGCAAUUAAAGGUAGGUUAGAAGACACUUAGAUUAUAUUUGGUUUUCACUAUUUUAUGCAUAUGUAGCACUGGGAAAUAUUCUUUAUGUAAAAAUUGCAUAUUUUCAGGAUUUGGGCAUAAAAAUAAAUAUGCAUUCUUAUGUUUUCUGGUAACCCUUGAUUUCCAAACCAAUAGGUUGUGUGCUUUAUCUAAUUGUAUGUAUACGGGUGUUUUCCCUACGUGUAUGUCUGUACCACAUGGGUGUCUGGUGUUGGAAGAGGCUGUCUGAUCUCCUAGACAGUGUUCUAGACAGUUGUGGUUGCUGGAGACUGAACCUAGGUGGUCCCGAAAAGCAGCAGUGUUGGUAAUCACUGAGCCACUUCUCUAGCUCCAUCCCCUCCCUUGUUUAAACUUUUAGACUUUAGUAUACUGUUUUUAAGCACUAUGGGGUGUUUUUUUCCAUUUAGCCUAGGAGAAUUGAGUCCUUCACAAAGUAACUUUUGACUUAAACAAUAUGUAUAGCUUGUAGGUAAUUUAAUGUAAAAGCCAGAAAAGAGAUGUCAAAAGUCUUUAGAGACUUUCUGAUGGUAUACUGUGGUAGUCCUAUCAUUUACCAGGCUGAGUCAGAAUGAUUGUGUGUUCAAGACCUGUCGGGACUACUACCUAUUACAGCAAGACCCUGUCUGGACUGCAUAUUGCAACCUGUCUGGUUGUCAGGGCUAGCCUCAAACCUACUGUGUAGCCAAGUAUGACUUGGCCUUCUGAUAUUCCUACCUCUCCCAAGUGCUAGAAUUCUAGAAUGUGGUCCACCUUUUCCAUUUUACCCAGUGCUGGGUUUAACCCAGAGCUUUAUGCCUGCUAAGCAACUGAGGUACAUCCCCAUGUGUUGUGUGCCACUUUUUCUACUUUGGCUUGUGUGAUGUUUUUGUUGUUAUAUUGAAAUCUUCACUGUUGGUUGCCUAAAAUUCGUUGUCUAGCAGAGUUGUACUUUGCCUAGCUAUUCUCCCUAGGUUGCCCCUAAUACUAGCUGUUAUAAAUAGCUCUGUAUUGGAUGUCAUGCAUGAAAACCUUUCUGGCACUGUGUCUUAAGACACAUUUCAUGGAGCAAAAUUCAUUAAUCCCACAAGAAAUGACACACAAAGUUCUUAAUGCAUGGUGGUAGACACUUUUAAUCCCAAGAGACAGAACCAAACAAAUCUCUGUGUUCCAGGCCACCUAGGAGCACAUAGUGACACCCUGUCUCAAAAACAAAAAUAACCAUACCAGUUACAAGAAAGGCAGCAGUGGCUAAGAGUGCAUGCAUCGUGGCCACCCCACUGUUACUGAGCCAUGGUACUGUUAUAACAUCUUUGCUGCUUGAAGUGAUACUUUGGGGAUCUUUUGAGCCAGGAAUUGAAGGCCAAUCUGGGCAAUGUAAAGAAUGGGUCCCUGUCUCAGGGAGGGAGGGAAAGGAAAGAGGAAAAAGGAAAAGAAAAAAUAAAUCCUGUCUCAAAAAAUCAACAAAGCUAGCCAGGUAUGGUGGCUUUCUCUGUAGUCGCAGCACUUGGAAGGCGGAAGCUGCAGAAUCAGGAAUACAACAGAGUCAUCUUUGGCUCCUCGGAAAGUUUGAGGACAGCCUGGAGCUGUGAGGCCUUGUCUUUAAAAAAAAAGGAAAAGAUGGGACCGUGGAUGAAGUAAUACUCUGUCAUUGUUUUAAUAGUUGUAUAACUAUUACAAAUGCGGUCCAUUUUAUUAUGUUACUUCUUCUCAAAACAUGGGAAAUCAAUACCAAUAAACAAGGCUAUAAAUUAUAUCUAAAUAUUUCUAACAUAAAUUAUCCUGGUUCACGUUCUCUCCUCUUGGGUGCUAGACCCUGGUUUGUGUUAUGAAUAAACAUUACAUGUAAUUAUUUAGUCAAGACAUUUAAAACUUUGUUUAAUGUCUUGUUCUUCCUUUUCUUUUUGAGGUGAGCUACAUGAGGUGUCUUUCCCUAAAGCACAGAGUGGUGACUGGGUGAUACGUGUGGUUUGGGUUCGUGGAGAUUUGAGGUGCUUGUAGGUAACUUUACACAGACAAUUGUAUUUUUCAUCCUCAAAAGGAAAAUGUGUCACACAUAUCUGAGAAAAUAUAGGGAGUGGUACUUACAAGUGUGAGCUAACACUGAACUCUUAAAAACUAGAAAAUAUUAACAGCUUCAUUGUAUUUUGUUUUAAUCCAUUUAUGGGGGUGGUGGCAUGCUAUGGCACGAGUGUAGAAAUCACAAGGAAAUUUGCUGGAGUCUGUUCUCUCCUUCUACCUUGUGGUUUCCCAGGAUUCAGCUCAGGCUGCCAGGCUUGACCUUUAGCCAUUGUCCUGUCUCCCCAGCUGUAUAGUUUCUAUUUCAGCUAACUAUAUCAAAACACUAUAAACUAAUGGUAUCCCCGGUUUGUGCUAAUAUGAAAACUGAGGCCUGUGGUUGACAGGCCAAGAUUACAGGAUGAAUUUUCGAAAGCUCUAGAAGCUGCGUAUUAUUUUCAUUCACACGCCAGCCAUAGCAUUGCAGUGACAGUCUGUUUCUCCUUUCCUGCCCACAGGGGUAAUCUGGGUUCCCUAGUCUGUUCACCCUGUAGUCUUUUCUAGAGGCUUCUAAUAAACUAAAGCGCAUCGUGAGACAGGAUGUACUUUUUAUAAUGCUGGCCUUGGUAGAGAAUGGGGAGUGGUUAACUCUCAGGCUGUCCUAGCUACCUGGAGUAGGAUGCGUGUCAGUGUCAGCACACAUUUCAGUGUCUUGUCAUCCUAGCAGCCUCUGAUCUUAGAAUAUCCUUCACGGAAAGGGCUGGAUUGUGCUCUGGAUUUACAUAGCCAUAUUCUAAGGCAAGCCCCUGGAUAGCUUUUCUGAGCUGAGGCGAAAGCCCCAGGCUAGAGGAAAUAGCCAAAGACUUAACAGCUAGUGCCAGGAGAAACUCCAAGACCCAGAGAGAGAAGGGGCACUGAGGGAGCUUUGAAAGCAGCCUGGCAAGGUGGGCAAGACUCAGGGCAUGUAUCAUGUGGUGCAGUGAGACAGUAGAGCAAAAAGAACUUGACAGUUUUGCAAAAAAUAAUGAAAUGGCCAGUUGGGGGAAAUCUGUCUCCAAGAAAUAGCAUGGCAUUGGCAUCUUUAACAAAGUUGAAGUGGAAAAGAAUAGAAUAGACUGCUUGCUACCCAGGGUAGUUAGGAGCAACAUGUAAACAGCCAAGAUGGUCCCAGAGGAGUGAGCUUUAUUAAGCACCUGACAACCUGCUCCCUGUGUUGUUUAGAGCUGGUUUUGUGUGGCUUUAGUGUGGAUUUGGGUAGCUCUGCUUGUUGAGUAUAUCCUUGUUUUGAUGAGUGUGCAUAAUGGACAUGGUGAUGCAUGUUACUCUGUGUCCCAAGAGAUGUGUUCUGAAUUAGUAAUAAUGAGUACUGUGCACCUGUUUUUAGUUUGUGUUUGAGCUUCAUGAACUUUAGUGUAAAACUUUUGAGAGACAGAAAAUUGAAAGAGAGGUGUAAUUGUGGACCCCAACUGCCUCAAACUUCUUUAAGGAAAGCAACUUUUUUUUUCUUUAAAAUAACCAUUUAGUUAUGACAGGGAGGUUAUAAUUAGUAUAGUUUGAUCCUCAAACGAAAUAGUUUGUAUUGUUUUCUAGGUAUCCCGUUCCUAGGCUAAGGAUAUGGUAAGAGCUCAGGGAAGCAGCUUAGCAGACUUAGCUCUAUAAUAAUGUUUCAAGACCUUGUGUGGACUUGCCUUUAAUCCUGGUACUCAGGAAGCAGAGGCAGGUGAGUCUCUACAUUCAGGAACAGCCUAGUGGUCUGCAGAGUUCCCCCAACAGCCAGGGCUACACGGCCCUAGGGCCUUGCACCACUGACCCACAAUACCACCAGCCUGCAGAGUUUAUAAACCAUUUAGAGUGAUGAAAGCAACUUGGCAGAUAGGCUAUCAGAACAAUUACAAAAUAACACUUUAAAAAUCUACCUCUUCAGGAGUAGGUUUUAUUUUUUGUAAUGAUUGUUCCUGUUUUCUCACCCCAGUAUAUGAAUAUUCCUUUAGAGAUGGUCUGGUAUCUGCAGUGUGGUUCAAGACCCUGGGCUUGGGUUGGGGGUUUAACUCAGUGGUAGAGUACUUGUCUAGCAAGCCUAAGGCCCUGGCUUUGGUCUCCAUUGAGUCUUGAAUUUAGCUAUGUAUCAUUAGUUUUUGUUUUGGGUUUUUUUUUCCAAUCAGAUGAUUUACUUCAUGUUGGUAAUUUUUCAUUGCUGUGACUAAUUCCUGAACAAAUGAACUUAAAAGAAGAAAGACCUGUCUUGGCCAUUUUAUAGAUUCUGGUCCGUGCCCAUCUGGUCCCUUGGCUAUGGAACUUUGUUAAGGAGAAUGUCUUGUCAGCUAGAACCUGUGGUGGUUCUUUUGAC
rnacentral:lncRNA from 1 species